rnacentral:rRNA from 1 species
CAGCAGCCGCGGGAUACGGAGGGGGCUAGCGUUGUUCGGAAUUACUGGGCGUAAAGCGCACGUAGGCGGCUUGGUAAGUUAGAGGUGAAAGCCUGGAGCUCAACUCCAGAAUUGCCUUUAAGACUGCCGAGCUAGCAGGUGAGAGAGGUAAGUGGAAUUCCGAGUGUAGAGGUGAAAUUCGUAGAUAUUCGGAAGAACACCAGUGGCGAAGGCGGCUUACUGGCUCAUACUGGACGCUGAGGUGCGAAAGCGUGGGGAGCAAACAGGAUUAGAUACUCCUGUAGUCCCUGUCUCUUAUACA